CCACAGGUUAUGUGCAGUACUAAAGAGCGACUUCACCUAUGAGUUACACCUCAAGGCAACCUCCUGGCAGGCCAACCUUAAGCCACCUGUCCAACCAUGCAUCUAAGCUGAGUUCUCAUCACAGCCAACUUCAAUUAUAAACAACUGAGAUGAUGCCAGAGGCCAAAAUCCCUGAGAACCCAAUUUGUCGUCAUCACCGUGGCUAAAACAAGGUGCUUGGCAUCUAGAAAAGCUGAUCUGUAGGAAAUUUUUAAUAGAGUUCAAUUUUUUCUAAGUUUAAAGUGCACGAUAUGAAGAUCAGACACCUGAGAUAAAACUAGACUUGUAUUUAAAUAGAAUAAAAAUAUUUGAAGAAUAGUAAUAGUGGUGACUACUUUUACACAGGAAUGCUUUAAAUAAAUUGGUUUUUUCUCCUUUAAAUUUUGUGAUUUGUCAAUGUGAUGCUGACAUAUUUUUAAUGAAGUAUGCCUCAUAAAAUAAUAAGUGAAUGAAAAAUACACAGUAAUAUUUACAUCAACAAAGCUAGAAGAAGACUGCAUGUCCCAAGAGGCUCCAUCAUCUACCCAGUGGCCACUUAACCAAAUUAAGAUCCAAAUACCAAAAAGAAAAGCAAAUAAAAUUUGUGUUGUGUGCUUUACAAGACCAAACCCAUGAAAUGAGGGAAACUUCACAAUUACUUGUAAUUUGCUCUGUGGAAUUGUGACAGAUGGAUUGUAAAGAUGAUUCCAUGAUAAACAUCUAAAUGUGGUUACUACC